ensembl:snRNA U6 U6 spliceosomal RNA
AUGCUUUCUUUGGCAGCACAUAUACUAAAAUUGGAACCAUACAGAGAAGAUUAGCAUGGCCCCUACACAAUAAUGAUACACAAACUCAUGAAGACUUCCAUAUUUUU